GUCAGUCCUCCUAGCAGCCUGAUUAGUAGGAGUUGUUACAGAAACACAGAUGAAACCAUGGGUUAGAAAGAGGUUGAGUGCUAGAGAAUCUUAUGGCUGCCAAAUGGGUAAGCAGAGACUUCAACCACUGUCUUCUGACUCACAGCCCAAGGGAAAGACCAGGCAAGAGUAGGGGUGAAGAAAUCUCAUGUAGAAGCCCAGAACUUUCAAGAGAUAAGAAGUAGAGAGAUUCUGGUUUAAAGAGAGAUGACAGAAGCCCUGAAUGUCCUCUCUUCUGCUCCCCCAGAUACCUUCAUGGACUACAGGGCUGUACAUACGACUGUUGAAGUUUAUAACUAAAAAUAAACCAAUAGGAAAGCUAGCCAUGCCAUAGUGGCUACAUGCAUGGGAUGUGAAGCCACACUUCCUGAGUUUGAAUCCAAGCUCUGCCUCAUCUUAAAAGUGUGAUCAUAGAGAGUGUGCCAACAUCAUUCUAAAUGAUUGGGAUACAUGAGUGGGAGUGAGUGAAGUGGACAAUGGCAGCAUUUUAGAAAAGGACUAAG
rnacentral:antisense_RNA from 1 species